GGGGCGUAGGGGACCGCGGCUUGGAACUCCGGACGGCUGCAAGCCUGCUCAGGCUGCUUGUCUUCAUCGCCUUCUUUCGCUGUGCGCGGACCACACGGUGGAACUGUAGCGGCGAAAGCGACUGAGGUCUGGGCGCAAUUAUCUGUAACCUCCUGGCGACCCUGCAAGAAGACGCGUUAUUACAAGAUACUGAAUAUAGUUCCCUGCUCUAUACAGGGAACACAAGUAAGAAUGGAGGGUGCUCUUCCCCCCGCCCCACCCCGAAGGUAACAAAGGAUCAAGGUUCUCUCCGUGAAAUAGCCGCAGAAUGUAAACUGAGGCUGCUGGCAUUUCCCUGAGAGUUUUACUGGCUCAGCUCAAGAACCACCUCCUCCAAGUUGUCUUCCUGGAUUUACUCAGCCUAAAGUAAUCCUUCUUUUUCCUAGUUAAGCCAGAGAGCCCUCGCAGGCAGAAGACCGCAUUCCAGGUGCCUCUGUCCUGCCCUCUCGCUCCCUCCCAGUGAAUUUUCUGAAAAGCCUGGACUGUGAAGACCAAACCAGCUCUCCAACCUGACAGACAGCGCUUGUUUUAUCUAAGGAAAGGGGACAGGAUGGGCAGCGCUCACCUGUCUGACAGGGACGACUACACCUCUUCACGGGAAUUCUCGGAUCCUUGAAACAACACUUUAAGGGCUCAGCACAAUGGACAUAGAAACAGCAGAGGUCGAUGACUGCAUUGAUCCAAAUUUGGAAGUUGUGUGGCAGAUAAUUCAGAACAUAAUAUAACCUUCCUUUGUGACUCAGAAUGGCCAUUAUGACCAUCUGCUUUUGCCCUGGGCCUUUGAGGCAUGUAGGAAUAUGUCUUUCCCUAUUAAAUGGGUCCCAGAUUUCUGUGCUUUUGAAAUUCUAUCUCGUUUACUUUCCAGCUUUACUCUUUUUGGUGUCAGAGGCUGAGAUCAGCGUAUUCUAGGUUCUUCUAAUGUACAGGUGUUUGACCAAGGACUGACCCCAUACACCUCCUGUGAAGUUCAUGGAUUUUAUGAUGGCCAUGUGACAUGCUGUUUAGAUGUUUUUUUCUUUUCUAGGUUUGUGGUUAUAUUAUGGCAGAGGUUAUGAGAAAUCUGAUCUCCAGAGAAGUGUCGGUGCUUCUUUAAUAUGAUAUAGCUAUUUGGGGCUAGUUUUCUAGCAUUGCAGGAUUUAAUGAAUAAGUUUGUAUUUACCUUAUCCACACUCUUUUUAAUGGUAGAGACCUGCUCUGUCCAAUACAAGUAGCCACUAGGUACAUGAAGCUUUUACAAUUUAAAUAUAAAUUAAUUGAGUAAAUCAGUAGUACUAGCCACAUUUCAAGUUCUCAGUAGUCACGUGUGGCUAGUGGCUACCGUACUGGAGAAUGCAGGUGCACAACAUUCCCAUCAUCGCAGAAAGUUCUGUUUUUCAGCAGUGGUCUAGACCUCGAAUCAGUCUCCUCUCAGGUUUCCCCUUUCCAGAUUGAAGUCGCAUGUUUUCAGCAUGUCCUUGUGCAGUAGCCAUGUUCCUACUACUCUGCGAUACCCCCUGGCCUCCUACCCUGAUCAUGUCACUUGCCCUCUGUCAGUGUCUUAGUUCCUGUUGCUGCUAUAACAAAUUACCACAAACUUCAUGGCUUAAUACAACACAAAUUUAGUAUCUUACAGUUGUGGAGAUCAGAAGUUUAAAAUAAGCCAUUUUGGGACUUCCCUGGUGGCGCAGUGGUUAAGAAUCUGCCUGACAGUGCAGGGGACACGGGUUCGAGCCCUGGUCCAGGAAGAUCCCACAUGCCACGGAGCAACUAAGGCCAUGCACCACAACUACUGGGCCUGCGCUCUAGAGCCCACGAGCCACAACUACUGAAGCCCGCACACAUGGAGCCCGCGUUCCGCAACAAGAGAAGCCACCGCAGUGAGAAGCCCGCGCACUGCAGCGAAGAGUAGCCCCUGCUCAAGGCAAUUGGAGAAAGCCCGCGCACAGCAACAAAGACCCAA